GACGAACGCUGGCGGCGUGCUUAACACAUGCAAGUCGUACGGUAAGGCCCUUUCGGGGGUACACGAGUGGCGAACGGGUGCGUAACACGUGAGUAACCUGCCCACAACUUUGGGAUAACGCUAGGAAACUGGUGCUAAUACUGGAUAUGUGCUCCUGCUGCAUGGGGGGGGUUGGAAAGCUCCGGCGGUUGUGGAUGGACUCGCGGCCUAUCAGCUUGUUGGUGGGGUAGUGGCCUACCAAGGCGGCGACGGGUAGCCGGCCUGAGAGGGUGACCGGCCACAUUGGGACUGAGAGAAGGCCCAGACUCCUACGGUAGGCAGCAGUGGGGAAUAUUGCACAAUGGGCGCAAGCCUGAUGCAGCAGGGCCGCGUGCGGGAUGACGGCCUUGGGGUUGUAAACCGCUUUCAGCAGGGACGAAGCUUUUUGUGACGGUACCUGCAGAAGAAGCACCGGCUAACUACGUG
rnacentral:rRNA from 1 species